rnacentral:tRNA from 1 species
GAAGUAUAUAAAAUAAGCUUCUAACUUAUUAAAUAGUGACUUAAUUUCAUUAAUACUUCU